GACGAACGCUGGCGGCGUGCUUAACACAUGCAAGUCGUACGGUAAGGCCCUUUCGGGGGUACACGAGUGGCGAACGGGUGAGUAACACGUGAGUAACCUGCCCACAACUUUGGGAUAACGCUAGGAAACUGGUGCUAAUACUGGAUAUGUGCUCCUGCUGCAUGGUGGGGGUUGGAAAGCUCCGGCGGUUGUGGAUGGAAUCGCGGCCUAUCAGCUUGUUGGUGGGGUAGUGGCCUACCAAGGCGGCGACGGGUAGCCGGCCUGAGAGGGUGACCGGCCACAUUGGGACUGAGAUACGGCCCAGACUCCUACGGGAGGCAGCAGUGGGGAAUAUUGCACAAUGGGCGCAAGCCUGAUGCAGCAACGCCGCGUGCGGGAUGACGGCCUUCGGGUUGUAAACCGCUUUCAGCAGGGACGAAGCUUUUUGUGACGGUACCUGCAGAAGAAGCACCGGCUAACUACGUG
rnacentral:rRNA from 1 species